CUACGGGGGGCUGCAGUGGGGAAUAUUGGACAAUGGGCGAAAGCCUGAUCCAGCCAUGCCGCGUGUGUGAAGAAGGCCUUCGGGUUGUAAAGCACUUUCAGUGGGGAAGAAAGCCUUGGGGCUAAUACCCUCGAGGAAGGACAUCACCCACAGAAGAAGCACCGGCUAACUCCGUGCCAGCAGCCGCGGUAAUACGGAGGGUGCGAGCGUUAAUCGGAAUUACUGGGCGUAAAGCGCGCGUAGGCGGUCUGAUAAGCCGGUUGUGAAAGCCCCGGGCUCAACCUGGGAACGGCAUCCGGAACUGUCAGGCUAGAGUGCAGGAGAGGAAGGUAGAAUUCCCGGUGUAGCGGUGAAAUGCGUAGAGAUCGGGAGGAAUACCAGUGGCGAAGGCGGCCUUCUGGACUGACACUGACGCUGAGGUGCGAAAGCGUGGGUAGCAAACAGGAUUAGAUACCCUGGUAGUC
rnacentral:rRNA from 1 species